rnacentral:lncRNA from 1 species
CGAUCCGGCGUUGCCGUGAGCUGUGGUGUAGGUUGCAGAUGCGGCUCGGAUCCCGCGUUGCUGUGGCUCUGGCGUAGGUCGGCGGCUACAGCUCCGAUUAGACCCCUAGCCUGGGAACUUCCAUAUGCCACCGGAAGCGGCCCUAGAAAAGGCAAAAAGACAAAAAAAAAAAAAAAGAAAGAAAAUUACAAACUAGCAAAACUCCAUCCCCUUGAAGCCCCACCCUAUUCUCUUUGCUCCUUGUGCCUCAUUCAGACCACGCGUGUGUCUCCACUUCUCAGCACAUUCAGACUCCCCUUCACUCUUGUCCCCAUUCUGGUCUGCUUUCUCCCCUCACCACUCCAGAACAGCUCCUCUCCAAGGUCCCAGCAACUUCUUGGUCCUCAUCUCACUCUGACGGUUCCCGAAGGGGCAGCGUAUCCCUCCGACUUGGCUGUGAUCAAAGGGGAGUUCUGGGCAUCUCUUUCCCUGGUUUCCUCUCUUAGGCUUCUGGCUGCUCUGCCGUUUUGCCUGUAUCAUGCGGACACCAGCCUCCUUGAUGGCUCUCUGAAAAGAUUUUCAACAAUGCUCUUAGGCAUGGAGUUCUCCGUGACUCCAAAUAAACUCAGAGCCGUGGAGCUUUUCAUUCUUAUGACCUGCCUUUCCCUCCAGGCAGAACCCCUCUACCACUGCACUGGAGCUGGGUCAGAGACCCUCUCUCCCCAGAGGGACAUCCCGGCUUUAGAAGCAAGUUCUGCAAGAAGGGAAAGUGGAAACGCUUUGUCAUCUCUGCAUAGAAUCUCUGCCCAAGUGAGCUGGGGUAGGGGCAACUCUAGGACCCUUGACUUUCCAAGCCUGGAGGAGAGCUUCCACCCUACAAGUGGGGGCUGGAUGAGGAGAGGGAGACCGGGUCCUUUAGCAUGCCUAUCUGGAACAGAACUUCUGCAAAAUGGGCCUGGGGACCGCAAAACUCCAGCAUCCCUCUUCUGGGGUCAAACCACAGCCCCAGACUGGGAUCUCAGGAGAGAUGGAGCCCUUGGCUGCUCAUGCCUGGGGUAA